UCUUUGCUGCACAGUUCUACAAGGACAACACUGAAAUGGAAGAAGCUGCCAUCCCGUGGACUGGUUCUCAGGCAGGGAAAGGAAGAAGAAUAAAAGAAGCCAGAUCUCAAAGCUGGAGACAGACAAUAGUUUUGUUUUUGCUUUUUUAAAAGCAAGUGGAAAGUGGUUGGAAAAAGCUUCUACUUCCCAUGAGGCUUUUUCUUGUACUCAGUACUGUGAUUCUGUGUAAUGCUGGUGGUCAGCAAAAGAUGUUUAAAGACUCUCUCAAGGCAAGCCUUAAAAAAUGUAGUAUCAACAC